CGGUGCAUUGCGGAUCGUAGCUCUCCGAUUUCUUCGUCGUAGAUCGAUGAAGCCAUUUUGUUUAUUCUCUACUCAUUUUGGAUAUUACUAUAGAAAAACGAAGUGGACGUAAAUAACGGAAUAUUAGAAGUAGAUAAAAGAAGAAAACAAUAAGAAUAUUAUAUAUAUCGGACUGUUGUACUCUCAGUGAGACAAAGUUCGUACGUGUAAAGAAUGUCCUCCUUGUGAGAGAAAUUCUCAUUUAUAUAAGGUUCUAUAUCUCGCAGUCAAGAGAAUAUUAUAAAUGCCAAAGUGUUGCAUCUCCGAGUGAGUCAAAUUUCGUACUUUUAGAGGAUGGCCAUAUGAGAGAGAUUCCUUUUAUAAGUCAAUAUUGAUAUCCCACUAUCGAGAGAUAAAUUACAGGUAUCACAGGUAAGUAUCUUAUAAUAUUUAUUUUCAGGUAAUUAAAUAAUGGAGGGAAAUAAUUGAAGUGGAAGCAAAUCUCUAAAUGUAGAAAUUAGAGGCAAGGAGGAGACAAUGGAAGUAGACAAAUGGAGAAAGCAAUAAGAAUAUCGUAUAUAUCGAACUGUUGUGCUCCCAGUGAGACAAAGUUUCCUAUUUAGAGAAUGCCCUUCUCCUCGUGAAAGGGAUUCCUAUUAUAUGAGGUUAGAAAUCUGGCUAUCAAAUAAUAUUAUAAAUAUCGAACUGUUGUUUUCCCAGUGACGCAAAGUUUCCUAUUUAUAGAGAAUGCCCUUCUCCUCGUGAGGGGGAUUCCUAUUGUAUGAGGUUCUAAAUCUCUCUAUCAAGAGAAUAUUAUAAAUACCGAAGUUGUGCCGAAGUGUUGUAUCACCCAGGGAGUCAAAUUUCUCAUUUUUCGAGAAUGGCCGUCUCCGUGUGAGGGAUUCCUUUUAUAAGUCAUUGUUGAUAUCCCCUAUCGAGAUAUUAAUUACACGUAUUACCGGUGAGUAUCUUAUAAUACUUAUUUUUAGGAAAUUAAAUAAUGAAUGGAAAUAAUUAAAGUAAAAGCAAAUUUCGAAAUAUGGAAAUUAGAGGCAAGGAGGAAACAAUGGAAUUAGACAAAAAGAAAAAAUGAGAAUAACAUAUAUAUAUCGAACUGUUGUCCUCUCCGUGAGACAAAGUUUCGUACUUACAGAGAAUGCCCUUCUCUUCGUGAGAGGGAUUCCUAUUAUAUGAGAUUCUAGAUCUCGCAAUCAACAGAGUACUAUAAAUGCCGAAGUGUUUUAUCUCCCAGCAAUGAAAUAAGGUAUGAAACAAAAUUUUGUACUUUUAGAAAAUGCCUAUCUCUGGAAUGGAUUUCUUUUUUUAUGAGAUUUUAGAUCUCACUCUCAAGGGAAUAUUAUUUAUAUAUUUAGGUGCCAAAUAUUUGUAUCUCCCAGUGAGACAAAAUUUCGUACUUUUAGAGAAUGCCCAUCUCCGUGUGGGAGGGAUUUCUUUUAUACGUUAUCGAUAGCCUUAUCGAAAAAUUAAUUACACGUAUUACAUGUAAGUCUUUUAGAAUAUUUAUUUUUAGACGAAUAUUGGAUGGAAAUAAAUAGAAGUACAUCCCGAAAUGUGGGGAUUAGAGGAAAGGAGAAAACAAAGGGAUGAGGAAUAUUGUAUAAACACGGACUGUUCUUCUCCCAGUGUUCUUUUCAUAGCGAGACAAAGGUUAGUACUUUUAGAUAAUCCUCUACUCCGUGUGAGAGGGAUUCCUUUUUUAAGAUAUUCCAGAGCUCGCUAUCGAGAUAAUAUUAUAAUAACCGAAGUGUUGUUGUCUCAAUGAUACAAAAUUUUUUAAUUUUAGUGAAUGCCCUUCUCCGUGUGAAAGGGAUUCCUUUAUAAAUGACGUUCUCGGUCUCGUUAUCGUAGAAGUAGAUUUCACAAAAGAAUUUCAAGUGAUAAAUCUAAAAAUUUUAGACCCUCAAAAAAAAAA
rnacentral:lncRNA from 1 species